rnacentral:lncRNA from 1 species
UGUUAGGAAAGCUGUAUGUAUCCAACACCAACAUUGACCUGUAUCGCUCAGGAGAGGCCAGGUCGUCCGUGCCACCAAGGGACAAGAAGACAGGCCUCUGCCUUGCUCCUGUCACGUCCAUUGAAGAUGGCUUCAGCUGCGUUCCAUGCCACUGCACUGGUGCUGGGAUAAGAGACGCCUGACUUCCAAUCACCGAUCAUGGUCUAUCUUUUUACAUUUUCAGAAAAGAGACUAAAAUUAUUUAUGUAUUUAUGAAAAAUUGAGGUAAAUUCUAUUUUAACCAUCUUUUAUUUUUCUGAAGUCUAAAAGUCACUGCAGGGUGUUGAGAAUGUAGCGGCCAGCAAAAACCAGAAAACCAGUUCCUUUCCUCAGAAAUAAUAGUCUAAACUGAAUAGUGGUUAGUGUAUUUUGCCAGAGUUUAGGUAUGCAUUCCUCAAAGAAUCUCUCAACUUUUGCUUGCAGCUGUCAACUUAGUCUUUCAAGUCCUAUUUUGGUAAGGGGGAACUUUGAA